rnacentral:sRNA from 1 species
UCAUGACUGACAAAGUAAUCUUGUUAAAAAAAUUUCAUCACUUUAAACUCUUUCCUACUAGAACCAGUGCGAGUUUAUGUAAAACCACUUUAAUAUAUUCAGGAGUUCAUCAUUAACUUAUUCAGGAGUUUCAGUUAUAAUCUCAGAAGAUAGCUCCGACCGGGUAUCAAAACUAGAGAAAAAGGUUAGUGCUUUAUAGCAUUGUGUGUUUUCUCAUAUUUCAGUUGUGUGGUUCUGUCUGUUUGAUGUAGUUAUUGUUCCUUAUUUUGUGUAUGAUAUCCUUUUAAUUGGCUUAAUUGAUGUGUAACUUGCUGGAAAAUUUUGUGUGAGUCUGCGGAUGUAGGAGUUGAUAAAGAGACUUGAAUAAGGUAAGCUUUCGUGAUGAAUUGGUAAAUCAUUUUCUAGAUUCUGAACCUUGACUUAUACUGAAACUCACGCCAUAAAAAGCACAAAUUCAACGUAUUAAGUGAAUAAGGUUUGAACUAAUAAUCCUUGAACAAUGGCUGGUGGAGUUGCACUGAGAGGUAAGAUAAUAUGAGCCGAGGAAACAACCAAAUGACGACAGGGAGGAUUCUGAUUUCAAGAUGAAGGAUUGCUUCCUCGGCUGCAAAGACGGUUUGACGACCACCAUUUAAUACAAGGUUUGAACUGGUGAUCUUUUCUCUCCAAGACUAUUCCCUUGGGAAGGUAUUUCUAAUUACCAGAUAAAGUCCAUGUAAGUCAUUCAGUUUAACCAGACAAUAACUAAUUCCCUCUCUGAUAAUUCUGCUGAUCAGCUUCUUUUUGUUUUUCUUGAUGCGAGAAUGAAUCUUAGUUCAAGUGGGUUACAAGGACCAAUAGCCUUUUCCUUUAGAGAUCUCUCCCUCCUCGAGUUAUCGUAAGUGUACAAAUGCAAGCCAUACAAACACACACUUUCCAAGAGCUUUCUUCAGUUGAAAUGGAACUUAUUGACAAACGGUUUGAAGAUGAAGGAUUGUUUGGCUGCAAAGAAAAUCAUUCAGUAGCCAACAAAGGUAUGUAUGGUUAAGUAGCUCUCUCUCUCUCUCUCUCUCUCACUUAUCAUGUCUCUUGCACUGUCUCAAAAACAGAACAUAAAUCAACGAAAAUCCACACUCAAACGCACUCAAAACUAAUUUAAAGUCACCGAAACACAACGAAACAAACAAAAAUCAUAGCAAACAACGUCUAGAUGCAACUUAAAAAAACAGAGAACAAAACAUAAAUCCACGAAAACCCACAGUCAAACGCAUACAAAAAUUAAUUAAAAGCCACCAAAAUACAAAACAAAAUUCAAACGCACAAACAAAAAACAUAGCAUACAACGUCCAAACGCAACUUCAAGAAACAGAAAACAAACUUUCACAGGAUUUUUUUUAACAAAAAAGUAUGAAAAAUCAUAGUUGAUGGCAAGAAAUUGCGUUGUGAUUGUUCCAUUAUUUCUUACUUUCUUAUCUACUUGCUUUAUUAUAGCUUGUAUUAACUUAUAUAUUUGCAAAUACUUUCGUGUACACGAGCAUUGUUUGUAGUUUAAACAAGGUUUUCAUAAGAAAGAGCAAAAGUUUCAGAUACGUGUCAAUAUACUCAUGAAUGAUGAGAGGUUUCAGCUAUGAUCUUCCAUUUAUUCAGAGGAUAGCUCCGACGGAGUAUCCAAAUUAGAAAAUGAAAUAACUUUGUGUGAAUCUGCUGAUGUAUCUAUUAAGGAGUUGAUAAAGAGACUUAAUGAAGGCCCAAAGUCUUGGCGUUGAGAACUUGAUGAUGAUAGAUAUUAUAAACUUGCAAAUAUUUGCAUUAUAUAUUCAGAAAACGAGAAGCAGAAUCUCGCUUCGUUUUUUUCCUAUCUUGCUUUCCAUUAGUUUCUAAAAGUGCUUUCAGUCCAAUGUCUUGGCGUUGAGAACUCGAUGAUGCGAAAAAAGAGAAGCAUGUAUUUAUCAUUUCUAUCUGUUCACACCAUCGAAAGGAUAAAACCAAUGUAUAAAGUCAAUAAGGUUUGGACUGGUGAUCCUUGCUCUCCAAGACUAUUCUUUUGAAAGGAAUUCUACUGAUGAGCUUAGUUCAAGUGGAUUACAAGGACCAAUAGCUGUCUCAUUUAGAAAUCUCUCCCUUUUUGAGUCAUUGUAAGUAUACAAAUUCAAGCCAUACACACACACUACCAACCUCUUUCUUCACAUUAUAUAUAAGAGUCAUGUGCAUUGUUUUCCCAGGGAUUCAUAAAACAACAACCUAAGAAAGGGAUUUCUUUUGACAGACAUUUGAUAAUGUAUUUGUCUCUGACAUUUAUUUGUGUCACAUGAAUUUGAAAGGAAAUUACUUGACUGGGUUUGCCCCAAGAUCUCAUAGGAAAAAAACAAUGGCUAGUGAACUUGCACAGAG